AGCAGCCGCGGUAAUUCCAGCUCCAAUAGCGUAUAUUAAAGUUGUUACAGUUAAAAAGCUCGUAGUUGAAUUUCGGGGUCAGUAGGUUGGUCAUGCCUCCGGUAUGUACUGGUCUCACUGAUUCCUCCUUCCUGAUGAGCCGUAAUGCCAUUAAUUUGGUGUUGCGGGGAAUCUGGACUGUUACUUUGAAAAAAUUAGAGUGUUUAAAGCAAGCUAACGCUUGAAUACAUUAGCAUGGAAUAAUGGAAUAGGACGUUCGAUCCUAUUUUGUUGGUUUCUAGGAUUGACGUAAUGAUUAAUAGGGAUAGUUGGGGGCAUUAGUAUUCAAUUGUCAGGGGUGAAAUUCUUGGAUUUAUUGAAGACUAACUACUGCGAAAGCAUUUGCCAAGGAUGUUUUCAUUAAUCAAGAACGAAAGUUAGGGGAUCGAAGACGAUCAGAUACCGUCGUAGUCUUAACCAUAAACUAUGCCGACUAGGGAUCGGAUGAUGUUAGUUUUUAAUGACUCAUUCGGCGCCUUAA
rnacentral:rRNA from 1 species